rnacentral:tRNA from 1 species
UAGCUCAGCGGCAGAGCAUCUGCCCAGCAAGCAUGAGGCCCUGGGUUCAAUUCCCAG